rnacentral:misc_RNA from 1 species
AAGUCGUAACAAGGUUUCCGUAGGUGAACCUGCGGAAGGGUCAUUAAAGAGAAAAGGGCUUCGGUCCUGACCUCCAACCCUUUGUUUACCUUACCACUGUUGCCUCGGCGGGUCGUCGACGCCCUUUACGGGGCGCCGCCGUCGGCCUUCAAACGCUUUCGAGUGCCCGCCGCCAGGCCAUCAUCAAUUAAUUUGCUUGAACAACCGUCUUUUCUGAGAGUAAAUUUAAUACUUCAAAA